AAGUAAGUCAUAUGCCACUUGCAAAUUUGUUUUUUUUUCUAAUUUUUAUGAUACCAUUAACUUAAUUAUUUAGGAUGUAAGUCAUCUCACAUACAAAUGUUUAAUUAUAUUCUGUUCUUCUAUGUUAAUUCAUAUAAACUGUGUUAGUCAUUUAUGUCUCAGGAUCUAGUAAGUCAUGUCACAAGAAAUUGUGUAAUUUAUUUUUAAAUUGCUAAAUUGAAACAUUCAAAUAUUGUAGAGAGUAAGUCAUGUCACAUGUGAAUAUUAUGUCUAUUUGAUACCAUUUUCUGUAAACUAUGUAAUUCAAAUUUUUCAGAGAGUAAGUCAAUUCAUAUGUAAAUGUUUAAUCUUUUCUUCUAUGAUACCAUUGUGAUACUUUAAUAAACUGUGUUAUUCACAAUCUUUUAGAUUGUAAGUCAUACCACAGAUGUGAAUGGGUAAUUUUAUUGUUUUCUUCUAUGAUAUUAUUUACUAAACGGUGUUAUUCAUGAUUUUUCAGAGAAUACAUAGACGUGAACCUUUACUAAACUGUGUUAUAGUCAGAAAC